AUAUAUAAGUUGGAAGUUCACAAAAUGUAGUUUAUGAAAACAUAUGGACCAAGGGAUUUGGGCUUGGAAAGAAAUCAAAAUAAUAAGAGAGGCCCAAUCAUAAGUCAUGGCCCAAAACAAAAGAAAAAGAAAAGGGAGAUCCAAGCCCAUAUGAUUUAGUCAUGUUAUAAAAGAAGAGAAAGGGGCUAGUUAGUCAUAAGGUCCUAGAACAUUCAAGAAAAAUCAAGUCUUCAAGAGAGAAAAGAAGAGACCGAAGCUAGAGACAAAAAGGGGAAAAAAUUGCCAAGUUCUUCAAUUUUGAUCUAAAAAUCUCGUCUUUCUCAAAUUCUUACUAAGUUCAAGCUCCUCUUCAAAGGGGUAUAAUUGGGUAAGCGAGAGAAAUACGAUUGUGGCAAGUCGAAAAUUGAAGAAAAGAUUUUGGAAAGGCCAAGAGUUAGGUGGGGUGACUAAGGAAGCGGACAAGGUACACCCAGACAAGUAGAAGUUACCAUAGAAGAUGUUGCAGCAGGGUUAGCAACUCCACUUGUUCCUGGAGUUCUGCCGAGUCAGAGUAUAUGUGCUAUGAUGUUUCAUUCGAAGUUAGAGACUUUGCAGACAGAGUUGUGGGUAUAGAGUGUCAUCUUUGUAAGCGGCGUCACCAGCCGAUAUGUUAUUAUGUCGCAUGAGAUGAUAGAUUUUUGAUAGCAAGUUCGGAAAGCGUAGCUAUGUUUUUUUCAUUUCUUUUUAAUGCAAAAUUCUUAAGGGAUUGAGAAUGUAAUAUGAGUUAGCGGGUUCGCUCGGCUCUGAGCACGGGGUCGGGUGCCCAUCACACCCUGUUGAUAUUGGGGUGUGACAGAGUGGUAUCAGAGCAGGUCGGUCAAAGGGUUGUCUGCAAAGUCGUGUCUAGUAGAGUCUUGUUUAUGGAUGUGAAGUCGGCCACAUUUAUAAACAGGAGGCUAUAGGACAUUUAGGAUAUUAUCUUCUUCUAUUAUCUUAGAUCGUGCGAUAGAGCUGUCUAUCAGGAUAAUCUCUUCCUAACGGACUACGGGAUAUACGGUCAGACCUCUACGGGAAGCUUGUUUCUGACCUUUUUUCUUGCAGGUGGGUAUAGGCUGUGGUGGGAGAUGAAGAGACCAGCUCUAGACAGUAUAGGGGGUGCGGAGAAGGUCCCUAGGGUACACAUGGGACCUCAGGCUCCAGGACCAAGCAGGCAGAGCCCCAGUUAUUCGAUUGAGACGGAUCCCUCUGAAGACCCUGAUUAUGUUAUAGAGACCGAUCCUUCGGAAGGCUCAACAGUAGGUCCCCAAGAGCAUCUGAUGACCAGGAAAGUGGUUCUAGAAGCCACGCCAGCUGCUCUUAUGACCAAACACUAUGUCAGGCCAGCUCCUACGGUAAGUGUUACGAUAUAUUCGAGCCCUCUAUCUUGGUCGUCAGUGAACCAAGAAUUUCCUGGCUAUUAAUAUAUUUUGGAUUCAAGCGAAGACGACGACGAGGGACAGACAAGCAAAUGGCAUCCAGAUAGUGAUGGGGAACAUACUUCACCUCCUAGGUCACCAGGUCGAGAUAGGGACUGAUCGAUCAUAGGUAUAGGGGAGUACUAAGUAUAGUUUUUGCUGGCUAUAGGGGCAAGUUAUCAUUUUUGUUUCGGCCUAAUGUAGGAAGCCUUGUGCGGCUGGGAUAUGAUAUGUUAUAAAUGUAUGUAUAUAUUAGCCCUGUGAGGCAUUGCGAAUGUGAUAUGAUAUGAUAUGGAUAUAUAUAUAUGUUGGACUUGCAUGGCAUUGUUGGUAUUUCCUGAGUGCAGGUUUGAGAUAGUAAGGAAUAUAGAGGAAACUCUGUCGGAAUUUUCUAGAAAGAAAAAGGGAAUAGAUAGCUCUGAACGGAAGGAGUAGUAUGAAAAGGCGAGAAGAUAAGACCAUUAUUAAAAUAGAAUUGUCAUGAGAUUGAGAAGAAUUGGAAGUUAACCUUAGGUACCCGACAAGGAUAAAAGCUUAUGAGAUAUAAAGGAGUAUUGUGGAUAUGUGAUUCCGCCGUGAAAAGUAUAAAGACCCCUCAAGGAUGAGGGAUGUAGCUCUACAAAAUCAUUGACGCGUUGCGAGCCCAUUAAGUGGAACAAGUGGUAUCCACUAGAAUGAAGAUAGUGUUAUAACAGAGCUAGAAACACGGGUCACUGGAGUACAAGUACUUUUGGAUGGAGAAGUUGAAAUGAGUGUGAGCGCUAACUAAUCACUAGUAGGGAAGAAAGAAAUUUUCCCUAUAGUCUCUAUAAGAUUUUGAAGAAGGUUUUAUUUAACAUUCGAGGACGAAUGUUCUAAAGGGGGGGAGAAUGUUACAAUCCAUAUUUUUGUACAUUUGGACAUUUGGAAUAAUUGUAACAAGUGAAGGAUAAUGGUACGUUUUGGUCUUGUUUGAUACAUAAGUUGGUUAUGAAAUUUUGGAGAUGGAAAUAUUGGAAAAAAAAAGAAUAAGGAAAAAUAAAUAAAUAAAUAUAUAUAUAUAUAAGUUGGAAGUUCACAAAAUGUAGUUUAUGAAAACAUAUGGACCAAGGGAUUUGGGCUUGGAAAGAAAUCAAAAUAAUAAGAGAGGCCCAAUCAUAAGUCAUGGCCCAAAACAAAAGAAAAAGAAAAGGGAGAUCCAAGCCCAUAUGAUUUAGUCAUGUUAUAAAAGAAGAGAAAGGGGCUAGUUAGUCAUAAGGUCCUAGAACAUUCAAGAAAAAUCAAGUCUUCAAGAGAGAAAAGAAGAGACCGAAGCUAGAGACAAAAAGGGGAAAAAAUUGCCAAGUUCUUCAAUUUUGAUCUAAAAAUCUCGUCUUUCUCAAAUUCUUACUAAGUUCAAGCUCCUCUUCAAAGGGGUAUAAUUGGGUAAGCGAGAGAAAUACGAUUGUGGCAAGUCGAAAAUUGAAGAAAAGGUAAGAAUUCUAUCUUUUAUGUUAUGGAAGAAGUCUAUGUGUUGUAGCUAGUAGAAUUAAGUGGAAAUCAUGUAAUUGUGAUGUAUGUGGGUGUGUGAACAUGUGGGUGUGAAAGUGGGUGUGUGUGGACAUGUGGUGUGUUGGUUGGAAGAAGAGGAGUUGAACUUUAUUUAGCUUGUUAGUUGUGUUGUUAUGGCGGUUAUGGUGUAAUUAAAAGUUGAACGAUUCGAGACGGCCUUGAAAUUGGUUACAAGUUGUUAUAUGAAAUUAUGUGAUUUUAGUAUAGUUUUAUGAAAUCAUGGAAGUGGAAUUUUAAUAUGAGGAUUAUUGUUAUUCUUAAUGAAUUUGGAGGAAGACAAUGCGAUUUGGUAGUUCCGUUGUGUUUGUAGAAGUUUUGGGUGGAUUAUGAUUUUGAUGGAAUUUUUGGUAUAUUGUAUGGAAUAAUGUUAAUUUCUUUUGAAUUAUGUUUAAAUGGUCUUGAGCUAGUAAGGGAAUAAGAAAUGUUGAUAUUAGUUGAAGGUGUGAAGUUGGAGUAGAAAUUGUGGCCUUAUGUAAUAAAAGAAAGAAGAGAAAGAAGAAAGAAGAAAGAAGAAAAAGAAGAAAGACUACUAGUGUAAAUUGUGUUUUGUAAUAAUUGCUAAUAUUGUUAGUAUGAUGUGGUUAGUGUGUAAAUUAUUGGGUUGUGGUAAUUGAAUUUGAAACAAGGGAUUAGAUUGUUAUUGUUCUUAUUGGAAUUGAAAGGUCUUGGAGAAAGUAGUAUAUUGAUUUGGUAUGAUUGUUGGUAAAUUGGCCGAGUUAGAUUCUCGGGGAUGGUGUAUUUACAGGGAAAGUGCUGUCGAAAUUUCGGUAGACAAAAUGUUAGUUUAGAAUGAGGUUCUUGGAUACCUAUAGCUAAUGUUGGCAUUUAUUAAUCUUGUUAUAGAUUUUGGAAAGGCCAAGAGUUAGGUGGGGUGACUAAGGAAGCGGACAAGGUAUGUAAAGCUAACCGUUCCUUCUUUUGGCAUGUCUUUGGUAUAAGUAUGUAAGGCUUACCCUUCUUUUUCAAGGCAUGAUUCCGAUGUUAUGGUUUCAUAAGUGCUUCCAUAUAUUCUUUGUUUUCAAAAGAUAGGUGUCAAUGGUCCCAAGGAAAUGACUACUUUUUCCUAUAACCCGUUAAUGUUUUCCAAAAUGUCUAUAGUUUCCCAAAACAAAGGUUUACAAUAUUACAAGUUUUUAUGGCAAUGACGAUGGAUAUGUUUUACAACGACAUUGAUGAUGUCGAGGAUGAGAAUAUGUCUAUGAUGGCUAAGAUAAGAACGGCUUCAUGUAUGUAAUGUUUACUCUUCUUUCUCUUGGCAUGUUUUGACAUAAGUAUAUAGAGCUACACUUUCUUUUGGCAUAAUUUUUAUGAAACAAGUAUAUGUCAUUUUGUACAAUUUCAAGGAAGUCCUAUUCGUAGAGCCACUAGGAUGGUCAAUUUUCUUGAGUUUCCAAAAGAUAUUUUUCUCGUGCUUAAAUACGUGUAUAUGAUUCCAAAAGUUUUAUGUUGAUAUAAUCCAUGGUAAUUUUUGAAAGGUACUUGAUAUGACUCUUAUCUUGUUUUGUUAAUCAUAGCUCAUUCCGAUUAUUCUACGAGUCUUGAAAAUUGGUCAUAUGUGCAUAUGUAUACGAUUUGACGCCUUAUAAGAUUGUGACCUUAUUCUACGUUCUCUUAAUAUUAUCUUUCGUUGAUAGUCUCAUCCUAUAAUAAUUGUUCCUUCAAGGUGAGACAAAGCGACCAUGGUUAGUCUAUAAUACAAUCGGAGGUUACCGAUCUUCCGUCACUUCGAUAAAUACACGACUUUCAUUGGGCUCUCGUGCAUGCUGUCUAUAUGUAUAUGUAUAUGUAUAUAGGGGAUAUGGAGAGGUGUAUAUGUGGCGCUAUAGACGCAUUCCCACCUGAUCAGUUGGAGUAAUUUUCAUCCUGGACGCGAGAUGCCCGGACGCGGGAAAUAUGUGGGCACGCCGACGUUGUUCGGUGAUAUGACUUCUAUUUUCUAUGAAUAUGAACAAGAAAUGUUUUUUUAUGAUAAGACAAGCAUGCAUGGCAUCCGGCCUAAAAGGGCACUCAUAUGUACAGGUUACUCUCUUAUCUCACUAUAUGUCUAUGAUUCUACGAUAUGGUUGUUCAUACCUUAUGUUCUUUAUUAUGCUGAUUUUCAUGCCUUACAUACUCGGUACAUUACUCGUACUGACCCCCUUUUCUUUGGGGGUUGCGUUUCAUGCCACGCAGGUACACCCAGACAAGUAGAAGUUAUCAUAGAAGAUGUUGCAGCAGGGUUAGCAACUCCACUUGUUUCUGGAGUGCUGCCGAGUCAGAGUAUAUGUGCUAUGAUGUUUCAUUCGAAGUUAGAGACUUUGCAGACAGAGUUGUGGGUAUAGAGUGUCAUCUUUGUAAGCGGCGUCACCAGCCGAUAUGUUAUUAUGUCGCAUGAGAUGAUAGAUUUUUGAUAGCAAGUUCGGAAAGCGUAGCUAUGUUUUUUUCAUUUCUUUUUAAUGCAAAAUUCUUAAGGGAUUGAGAAUGUAAUAUGAGUUAGCGGGUUCGCUCGGCUCCGAGCACGGGGUCGGGUGCCCAUCACACCCUGUUGAUAUUGGGGUGUGACAGUAACUUGUUGUUGCUGCACCUCUUUGAUGAUAUAUUUCAGUAUC